rnacentral:lncRNA from 1 species
GACAAAAUCAUAAAAUCAAUCUCACAAUAAUGAAAAAAGAAAACCUAAACAUAAAAUUGAAUAAUCAACCAAAAAUAAGAACAUAAGAGGAUCCCAAGAUCAUAAUUCAAUCUUGGAAUCAAAAGAUGUUUGUAAGAGUUUAAAGUUUCCCCCAAAGGUGUAUCUUGACAUAAACUAAUUAGAAAAAUAUAUAAAUUGUAUUUAUAGAUUACAUGGAAACCCUAAAAAUCAAAUCUUAAACAAAGGAGGAAAAAUUAAAUAGUCAUACAUAAUAAUGAUUAAAAACAUCAUAGCACUAUAUAUAGGCUACAUGAAAACCCAAGGAAAUAAAUCCAAAACGAUCUAGGAAUAGUGAGUCGGCGGCAACCUACGGAUCCACCUACAGGCCAUAGGUGGUACUAUUCCCCUUAGGUGGGUGGCCAUAGGUGGUGCCUACAAAAUUACUCUAUGUACUUCAAUUUAUGGUACCUACACCGCUAUAUACGCCCCUUAGGUGGUACCUACGGGGCGUAGGUGCCUAGGUGUGUAGUCAUUUUUCCACUUUUCGUUUCAUUUUUUUUAGUUAGCUUCCAACACCUAGUUUCCUAUAAAAUCAC